rnacentral:rRNA from 1 species
GACGAACGUUGGCGGCGUGCUUAAUACAUGCAAGUCAACCGAAGCAGCGCUAGCAAUAUCGCUGUCGCGGUUGCGCACGGGGGAGUAACACGUAGGUUAUCCUCCUUCAGAUCUGGCAUAACCCCCGGAAACCUGGGCUAAUUGCAGAUGAUGCAGUGCCUCGACAUCGAGACAGUUGUUAAAGCUCUGGCGCCUGAAGAUGAGCCUGCGUAUGAUUAGCUAGUUGGCGGGGUAACGGUUCACCAAGGCAACGAUCAGGAGCUGGUCUGAGAGGAUGAUCGGCAGGACUAGAACUGAGACACGGUCCGGACUCCUGCGGGGGGCAGCAGGAAGGAAUGUAGCGCAAUAGAAGAAAUCCUGAGCCGGCAACGCAGCGAGAGAGACGAAGGGCUGUAGCUUGUAAACCUCUGUGGAAAGAGAAAAAAAUCCCGAUCAAUGGUACAUGAGGGUAACUCAAAAGUAAGCCCCGGCUAACUACGUG